rnacentral:lncRNA from 1 species
UACAAUUACCUAUCUUAUUAUAACCCUACUGAGUACUGACUGGAGAGAAGACGACGAGGACGACCAUGAGUAGGGAUUUUUGGCGAGCUCGGAUCGGAGGCAGUCGGAAAGAAUCGAGGUGAGUGAGUGAAUGACAUCGAGUUGCAGGAAGUGCUUGAUGGCCAAUCAGUAAGAAUCGACGGCGUCGGCGGGGUGAUAAGGGAUCGGACGUCCCGGAGGCGGAGAGGAGAGUCGCCGUGGAAGGGAAGCAGGGGCCGACGAGGCGUACGUGGAGAGAGAGAGAGAGAGAGAGAGAGAGAGAGAGAGAGAGAGAGAGGAGGAAGCAAAUUGGGGUUUUAGAUUGCAGAGAUCCAAACUCGAAUUAGAGAAGGAGACGAGGAAGCAGAUCGAAAGUUUUGAAGUUUAUAUCGAUUGGACGGUGGAGUUUUGAGGUUAAGCCGAUUCCCGGAGACGACCCCAAUCAUGUUCGGCUGCUCUUCUUCAAAAAUUGGUUAAUUAUGUUUUAUCACCAAUAGCAAUGCAUAUCCCUUCGUUUUUACUUUUUGUUGUCUAGGUUUAUCCUCUUAUUUUUAUUUUUUUGGAAUUUUAAAUUUUAAUGUAGUAAUUAUCUAAAUAAAAAUUUAGAAUUCUUUGAUGUGAUUUCAAAGUCUG